CACUAUUAUUGGGUCUAAAGGGUCCGUAGCCGGUUUAAUCAGUCUUCUGGGAAAUCUAAUCGCUUAACUAUUAGGCUUCCAGGGGAUACUGUUAGACUUGGGACCGGGAGAGGUAAGAGGUACUGCAGGGGUAGGAGUGAAAUCUUGUAAUCCCUGUGAGACCACCAGUGGCGAAGGCGUCUUACCAGAACGGGUCCGACGGUGAGGGACGAAAGCUGGGGGCACGAACCGGAUUAGAUACCCGGGUAGUCCCAGCUGUAAACGAUGCUCGUUAGGUGUCAGGAACGGUGCGACUGUUUCUGGUGCCGAAGGGAAGCCGUGAAACGAGCCACCUGGGAAGUACGGCCGCAAGGCUGAAACUUAAAGGAAUUGGCGGGGGAGCACUACAACGGGUGGAGCCUGCGGUUUAAUUGGACUCAACGCCGGAAAACUCACCGGGGGCGACAGCAAUAUGUAGGUCAGGUUAAAGGUCUUACCUGAAUCGCUGAGAGGAGGUGCAUGGCCGUCGUCAGUUCGUACUGUGAAGCAUCCUGCUAAGUCAGGCAACGAGCAAGACCCGUGCCCACUGUUACCAGCAUAUCCUUUAUGGAUGAUGGGGACUCCGUGGGGACUGCUGCUGCUAAAGCAGAGGAAGGUGCGGGCUACGGUAGGUCAGUAUGCCCCGAAUCUCCCGGGCUACACGCGGGCUACAAUGGUUGGGACAAUGGGUAUCUACUCCGAAAGGAGUUGGCAAUCUCUUAAACCCAAUCGUAGUUCGAAUUGAGGGCUGUAACUCGCCCUCAUGAAGCUGGAAUCCGUAGUAAUCGCGUUUCAACAUAGCGCG
rnacentral:rRNA from 1 species